GACAGAGGGUGCAAACGUUGUUCGGAAUUACUGGGCGUAAAGCGCGUGUAGGCUGCUUCGCAAGUCGGAUGUGAAAGCCCUGGGCUCAACCCAGGAAGUGCAUUCGAAACUGCAAAGCUGGAGUCCUGGAGAGGAAGGCGGAAUUCUCGGUGUAGAGGUGAAAUUCGUAGAUAUCGAGAGGAACACCGGGUGGCGAAGGCGGCCUUCUGGACAGUGACUGACGCUGAGACGCGAAAACGUGGGGAGCAAACAGGG
rnacentral:rRNA from 1 species